rnacentral:rRNA from 1 species
AUGUAGGUGAAGCGGUUUACCCGUGGAGCUGAAAUCAGUCGAAGAUACCAGCUGGCUGCAACUGUUUAUUAAAAACACAGCACUGUGCAAACACGAAAGUGGACGUAUACGGUGUGACGCCUGCCCGGUGCCGGAAGGUUAAUUGAUGGGGUCAGCGCAAGCGAAGCUCCUGAUCGAAGCCCCGGUAAACGGCGGCCGUAACUAUAACGGUCCUAAGGUAGCGAAAUUCCUUGUCGGGUAAGUUCCGACCUGCACGAAUGGCGUAAUGAUGGCCAGGCUGUCUCCACCCGAGACUCAGUGAAAUUGAACUCGCUGUGAAGAUGCAGUGUACCCGCGGCAAGACGGAAAGACCCCGUGAACCUUUACUAUAGCUUGACACUGAACAUUGAGCCUUGAUGUGUAGGAUAGGUGGGAGGCUUUGAAGCGUGGACGCCAGUCUGCGUGGAGCCGACCUUGAAAUACCACCCUUUAAUGUUUGAUGUUCUAACGUGGACCCGUAAUCCGGGUUGCGGACAGUGUCUGGUGGGUAGUUUGACUGGGGCGGUCUCCUCCUAAAGAGUAACGGAGGAGCACGAAGGUUGGCUAAUCCUGGUCGGACAUCAGGAGGUUAGUGCAAUGGCAUAAGCCAGCUUGACUGCGAGCGUGACGGCGCGAGCAGGUGCGAAAGCAGGUCAUAGUGAUCCGGUGGUUCUGAAUGGAAGGGCCAUCGCUCAACGGAUAAAAGGUACUCCGGGGAUAACAGGCUGAUACCGCCCAAGAGUUCAUAUCGACGGCGGUGUUUGGCACCUCGAUGUCGGCUCAUCACAUCCUGGGGCUGAAGUAGGUCCCAAGGGUAUGGCUGUUCGCCAUUUAAAGUGGUACGCGAGCUGGGUUUAGAACGUCGUGAGACAGUUCGGUCCCUAUCUGCCGUGGGCGCUGGAGAACUGAGGGGGGCUGCUCCUAGUACGAGAGGACCGGAGUGGACGCAUCACUGGUGUUCGGGUUGUCAUGCCAAUGGCACUGCCCGGUAGCUAAAUGCGGAAGAGAUAAGUGCUGAAAGCAUCUAAGCACGAAACUUGCCCCGAGAUGAGUUCUCCCUGAGACUUUAGGUCUCCUGAAGGAACGUUGAAGACGACGACGUUGAUAGGCCGGGUGUGUAAGCGCAGCGAUGCGUUGAGCUAACCGGUACUAAUGAACCGUGAGGCUUAACCUUACAACGCCGAAG